rnacentral:tRNA from 1 species
GGUCCCGUAGCUCAGCUGGAUAGAGCAACUGCCUUCUAAGCAGUAGGUCGUACGUUCGAAUCGUACCGGGAUCGCCA